AGAGUUUGAUCCUGGCUCAGAACGAACGCUGGCGGCAGGCUUAACACAUGCAAGUCGAACGAUGUAGCAAUACAUAGUGGCGCACGGGUGAGUAACGCGUGGGAACAUGCCCUUCAGUACGGAAUAACACCGGGAAACUGGUGCUAAUACCGUAUAUUCCCUCCGGGGGAAAGAUUUAUCGCUGAAGGAUUGGCCCGCGUAAGAUUAGGUAGUUGGUGGGGUAAUGGCCUACCAAGCCUACGAUCUUUAGCUGGUCUGAGAGGACGACCAGCCACACUGGAACUGAGACACGGUCCAGACUCCUACGGGAGGCAGCAGUGGGGAAUAUUGGACAAUGGGCGAAAGCCUGAUCCAGCCAUGCCGCGUGAAUGAUGAAGGCCUUAGGGUUGUAAAGUUCUUUU
rnacentral:rRNA from 1 species